rnacentral:rRNA from 1 species
AUGGUCAUCACAUUAUGGUCUAUAUGGUUUGCGAGGAGAAAGGCUAUCUAUGAGUCUAUCUUUCAGAACCCCCAGGAAACGGCUUCUUUUAUAAAUAAUUACAUCGAUGAGCUUGUUCAUCUAGCAGUUGGACGAGUGCCCGAACACUUUGUACCUGCACCACCCCAACCAAAACGGUGGCUACCUCCUCCUACAAGCACUGCAAAAAUAAAUGUUGACGGGGCUGUGGUUCGCUCACGAAGAGGAGGAGCGGUUGCUUCCUUUUGCCGUGACCAGGAUGGGCACUAUCUGGGCUCCUCGGCGAUGGUUUACUAUGGCAUCACGGACCCCCUUACCCUGGAGACAUAUGCAUGCCGAGAAGCUCUUGCUCUGGCGGAUGACCUGGGACAGCAGAAGAUUCACGUGGCAUCGGACUGCCAAGAGGCGGUAAAUGACAUCAACAAGGGGACAGGAGGCCCCAAUGCUUCGUUGGUGCAUGAAUUAUUGAACCAUUGUAAUAGUUUCAUUACUUGCUCCUUUAUUUUCGAGCGUAGGAACUUCAACUUUGAAGCUCAUAAUCUCGCCAAAUUUGCUUGCAACUUAGAUAUAGGUAGACAUGUUUGGUUGGGCAAUCCACAUGACCCCGAUCUUGUACCUAUGACAAUUGCUUCUGAAUAA